UACAGAGGGGGCAAGCGUUGUUCGGAAUUACUGGGCGUAAAGGGCGCGUAGGCGGCCCGCUAAGUCGAACGUGAAAUCCCCGGGCUCAACCCGGGAACUGCGUCCGAUACUGGCAGGCUUGAAUCCGGGAGAGGGAUGCGGAAUUCCAGGUGUAGCGGUGAAAUGACGUAGAUAUCUGGAGGAACACCGGUGGCGAAGGCGGCAUCCUGGACCGGCAUUGACGCUGAGGAGCGAAAGCGUGGGGAGCAAACAGGG
rnacentral:rRNA from 1 species